rnacentral:rRNA from 1 species
UACGAAGGGGGCUAGCGUUGCUCGGAAUCACUGGGCGUAAAGCGCACGUAGGCGGAUUGUUAAGUCAGGGGUGAAAUCCUGGAGCUCAACUCCAGAACUGCCUUUGAUACUGGCGAUCUCGAGUCCGGGAGAGGUGAGUGGAACUGCGAGUGUAGAGGUGAAAUUCGUAGAUAUUCGGCAAGAACACCAGUGGCGAAGGCGGCUCACUGGCCCGGUACUGACGCUGAGGUGCGAAAGCGUGGGGAGCAAACAGG